rnacentral:rRNA from 1 species
GACGAACGCUGGCGGCGUGCUUAACACAUGCAAGUCGAACGGUGAAGCGCCUUCCUUUUUGGUGGGUGUGGAGGAGCGGCGAACGGGUGAGUAACACGUGAGUAACCUGCCCCCUUCUUCUGGAUAACCGCAUGAAAGUGUGGCUAAUACGGGAUAUUCUGGGUCGGUCGCAUGAUGGGUCUGGGAAAGAUAUUGUUUCGGUGGGGGAUGGGCUCGCGGCCUAUCAGCUUGUUGGUGGGGUGAUGGCCUACCAAGGCGGUGACGGGUAGCCGGCCUGAGAGGGUCGACGGCCCCACUGGGGCUGCGCCACGCACCCGACUCCUGCGGGCGGCAGCAGUGGGUAUUAUUGCACAGUGGGAGGCAGCCUGAUGCAGCGCCGCCGCGUGAGGGAUGGAGGCCUGCGGGUUGUGAACCUCUUUCGCCAGUGAAGCAGGCCUGCCUCGUUUGUGGGUGGGUUGACGGUAGCUGGAUAAGAAGCGCCGGCUAACUACGUG